UUUACUUUUUUUUUUUUUAGCUUUCUACAAAAACUUGGCUCUAAAACUGACAUCACUGUAUCUAUCCGUGACACGCCUGCUUGAGAUUAUUCUUCCAUUCCCAGUGAGAUAAACUAUGUAGAUGAGUACUUCUCACUCAACCUGAAAGUAGUGGUAUGUGUCUUUAAGUCCCCAGAAUCUUCCACCACAAAUAAUGAAGCUAAACCUUUCCAUUCAGCUCCCCUCUCUCACUACAGCUGCUUCUCCUAUCGCUCCAGCUGUACUUUCAGAGCUGCAACAUGAUGCUGCGGUCUGGAAGAACUUACAUUUAUUUAUUUUUUAACAGAGGAGUUGGGUGGGCUUUUCAUCCCAGUAGAAGGAAAAGUAUCAGGCUAGAAUGACUCUUUACAUCUUUCUUCCAAAACACUAGCUCUCGAUGAAACACUGACAGCUGAAUAGCUCUUUGUGUGUUAUAAGUUUUCAAGGCAGAAGCCUCUUCCUGGGGAGGACAACAGACUGCAGAACUUUGUCACGUAAUUCCUAUAGGCACCACAAACCGGCGAGGUUUUCAUUUUUCUAAAACGAAGUUACUCAUUCUCAGCCACUCUCUCUGGUGGAUAACUCAUGACAAGCCUCACGUUGCUAAAAUGCACUCACAGUAAAUAAAGGCAACAAGGUACUGCAGCUGAUCAAAAAGUCAGGAAAAGUUUGAAAAGCAGCCAUCAUUUCUAGUAGGUUUCAGAGGCUAUGGGCCAUUUAGCAUUUAGGUUGAGACAAAUGCUUCAAGAAUCCGCCUUAAAGAAUACAGAACAUAAUGGCAGCAAUUUACAUUUUGGAAUUUAGGAAAAAAAAAAAAGAAAGAAAAAGAAAGAAAAAAGAAGGCAUGCAUGUUACACAGAGGGAAAACACAAAGAAAGAAUCACUUCAAUAGCUGUGAAAAUCCCUUGGGAAAACAGUAUUUCAGUUUGAAUGUGUUUCUUCCUAUUUCUUUCCCCUUCUGGAAAGAAUUACUACAUUUUUUUUUUUUUCCUUUUAACAAGUAUACACAUAUAAUACACACGUAUGAACCGCAUCUAAAAUUGUUCAGUCAAAUUACUACAUUAAAGAAACCACACGCAUUUCCAAGGGAAUCAGGAAAGAAAGACAGACCCCGCUCUCACAAACCAGAAACCCUGCCAGAUACAUAGGAUGGCCCAACGUGGCAGAACAAAGAAAACUCGCACAGAUGAGCAACAUGUGGCAAACCUUUAAUCAGCCAUUUUUCUGUGCGUGCUCACAGCGGCAAAGGCCAGCGCCGGGAACGUCAAUAUUUCAACCGGCAGAACAAAACCAGCCCUGACAGCACGGGGACACCUCACAGAGGCAGCACGCUGCAGCACUGAAGGAGAAACACCUUUGGAAGAUCAAAAACAUAAACCGCCUCGCAAUCAUCUCGCGACUGAUGAUUUCAGGCCUCACAAUAAAAACAAGUUAAAUGAUACUAUUCGGUGCCGCUACGAUUCAAACGAAAUGACUGCAAGAAGCCACGCGGGCAUCAAAGGCAGAUGUAAAACAAAGGAAGAGUACGUCUAGAUGACAUUUACCAGGGUGCAGAAGGAGGCCUGGACUGGCAGCAGUGUGGGGCUGGCUGCCCUUCUCCCCGAGCAGGCCGCAGGCUUUGUUCAGGUCUUGCCCAUUAGAUCUCCGCAGCUCCUAGCCCCGAUCUGACAUGACAGGCUGCUCCAACCCACGCGGAACAUCAGCGCUGCGACAGAAGUCUGAAAGGAGCAGCAAGAUGAACAUCAUAAAUUGUUUCUUGGGCUGUGGCUUUGUUCUCUCUUUACCUCUGAUCUGGCAAAUUAAAUUCCGUUUAACCUAA